CUGGCCUGCCGCCUCAACGACCAGCCUGAGAGCCAUGGCCAGUCCCACAAGUCCAAGUCCAUGGAUAGAGCCGUGAUGGAAACAAAGGAACACAUAGUGCAAAGAUGAAAAGAGAUUUUUAAAAAGAGAACAAAAGGGAGAACAAAGCAAAGUAAGCAGAAGAGACCCCAUCGCAGUGAAGCAGCUGCCCCUUGCAACGCGUGUCCCACUCACACUGGAGUCGCUUGCCUGGAUUCUGAGCAGCUCUCUGGCUAUCAGCACUGUUUAAAAUAUGACAACAUCUGAC
rnacentral:lncRNA from 1 species